GUAAACCCAGAUGGCAAGCCCGCCAUCCGCCAGAGAACUACAAGUGAAAAACUUAAAACUCAAAGGACUUGACGGCAUUCCACAUCACACUAGAGGAGCCUGUCCUAUAAUCGAUAACCCACGCUCCACCCAACCUGCCCUUGCACCCAGCCUAUAUACCGCCGCCCACCGCCCGCCUUACAAAAGCCACCCAGCGGGCCAACCAGAACACUAAAACGUCAGGUCAAGGUGUAGCCCACGGGCAGGAAGAGAUGGGCUACAUUUUCUAAUGAAAAGAAAACCACCACCAGCAUCAUGAAACAGGUGCCACAAGGAGGAUUUAGCAGUAAGCCGAGCAACCGUGCCCGACUGAA
rnacentral:rRNA from 1 species